UACGAAGGGGGCUAGCGUUGCUCGGAAUCACUGGGCGUAAAGGGUGCGUAGGCGGGUCUUUAAGUCAGGGGUGAAAUCCUGGAGCUCAACUCCAGAACUGCCUUUGAUACUGGUGAGCUUGAGUCCGGAAGAGGUGAGUGGAACUGCGAGUGUAGAGGUGAAAUUCGUAGAUAUUCGCAAGAACACCAGUGGCGAAGGCGGCUCACUGGUCCGGUACUGACGCUGAGGCACGAAAGCGUGGGGAGCAAACAGG
rnacentral:rRNA from 1 species